AACCAGAGUGAAGUCUGCCACUACCAAUGUGAGAAUUUAGGUGUGCGGGAAAUAUUGCAAAGCACCCAAACUUCAAAAUGAAACCAACUCAUGUGCUUCAGGACAUUCUGAGAUCAGCUGACAAGAAUCAGUGCCAACACGUGGACAAAUAGGCACCACCAAAACCCCAACAUACUGCCCUACAAAGGGUUUGCAGUUGGUAAACAUUUUUCUGACAAUUUUGUCUUGAAGAGAUGGUUCAUGACAGCAAGAUUCUGUUCUGGUGCAUGUCAUGGAAGAGAAGCAGGCAGCUGAAGGUGGAAACAGAUGGAGAAGAAGGCCUCAGGAAGUCAAGGAAGAAGGAAGAAACUCUAGUGCCCAUGGAUGGGUGAAAGAGAAAACGUUGUUUACACACACAAUGGGAUAUUACAUAGCCUUAGAAAGGAAAUUCUGACACAGGCUGCCACACAGAUGAACUUGGAGGAUAUGCUGAGUGAAAAAGCCAGCCACAAAGGACAAAUAUUACAUGACUCUGCUUAUAUGAGGUUCCCAGAGUAGUUAAAUUCAGAUACAGAGAUUAGAGGGGUGGUUGUCAGGAGCUGGCGGUGGGGGGCUGGGAGUUAGUGUUUAAUGGGGACAGAGUUUCAGUUUGGGAAGACAAAAGUUGUCUGGAGAUGGUCAUAAUGGUUAUACAACAUAAUGUACUUAAUGCCACAUUAAGGCUAAAAUGGUAAAUUAUUAUAUAUAUUUUGCCAAAAUUAAAAAAAAAAAAAAAAAGGAAUAGCUAGACCUCCAACUCAAGCUACCCAAGCCCA